AAAUUUAUUACGUUGCGCGACUGCACAAACUGAAUAACAAUGAGUAAUACCACGCCACGGAUUUAGAAAUUAGUGAUGGCUAGAACUACGACUUUUGAAUCACUUUCACGAAUCAACGAUUCGUGACUUUAGAGCAUAUAUCUCAAAAUUAUGGUACUUCAGCAGUAAUGGGACCUACUCUUGCACACCUCCAGGCCGCAGCUUCUUUGCUGUGAUUAGUUGACGAUUCACUGCUGAGGUUUCACUGCGGAUUGGAAGUGCAGUAAAAUGAAGGGGAUGUGCGUGCCAGCUUAGGGAGUAAGAAAACGGUGCGGGUUGAUACAAUGCCGUUUUUGUAUAACUUUUUAGCUAUAACAGAUAUUU